rnacentral:rRNA from 1 species
UGAGGAAUAUUGGUCAAUGGGCGAGAGCCUGAACCAGCCAAGUAGCGUGCAGGAUGACGGCCCUAUGGGUUGUAAACUGCUUUUAUGUGGGGAUAAAGUGCGUGACGUGUCAUGCAUUGCAGGUACCACAAGAAUAAGGACCGGCUAAUUCCGUGCCAGCAGCCGCGGUAAUACGGAAGGUCCGGGCGUUAUCCGGAUUUAUUGGGUUUAAGGGGAGCGUAGGCUGUCUAUUAAGCGUGUUGUGAAAUUUACCGGCUCAACCGGUGGCUUGCAGCGCGAACUGGUCGACUUGAGUAUGCAGGAAGUAGGCGGAAUUCAUGGUGUAGCGGUGAAAUGCUUAGAUAUCAUGACGAACUCCGAUUGCGCAGGCAGCUUACUGUAGCAUAACUGACGCUGAUGCUCGAAAGUGCGGGUAUCAAACAGG